rnacentral:rRNA from 1 species
UAUGUGAUCGUCUCUCGCAUAUCAAUAAGCGGAGGAAAAGAAACUAACAAGGAUUCCCCUAGUAACGGCGAGUGAAGCGGGAAGAGCUCAAAUUUGAAAUCUUAAAGGGUUUCCCUUUACGAAUUGUAGUUUAAAGAAGUGUUUUCUGUUGAGGUUUUGGUAAAAGUUCUUUGGAAUAGGACAUCAUAGAGGGUGAGAAUCCCGUAUUUGACCUUUACUUUCAACUUUGUGAUACACUUUCAAAGAGUCGGAUUGUUUGGGAAUGCAGUCCAAAAUGGGUGGCUAAAUUUCAUCUAAAGCUAAAUAUUGGCGAGAGACCGAUAGCGAACAAGUACCGUGAGGGAAAGAUGAAAAGAACUUUGAAAAGAGAGUUAAACAGUACGUGAAAUUGUCAAAAGGGAAGCGUUUGACACCAGUGUUGUUUUUCUGAAAAUCAAUUAAAGAACUGUUUAUGCUAAGCUGUUUAGACUUUAUCAGCUAAUCUGCUUAGUUUUGAGCUUUUCUUUAAUGCACUUUUCAGUUAACAAGUCAACAUCAAUUUCUUUUGCUGUAAAAAAGCUUGAGGAAGGUGGCUUGAGAUUCGUCUUAAGUGUUUAUAGCCUCUUGCCUAUGCAGUCGGAGAGAUAGAGGUCUGCAGCGUAGAUCCUUCGGGGCUAAAUGCAUUUGUGCUAAGUUAUAGCAUUUUAUAGACAACUUGUUGACUAUGAUUUGUCUUGUAGCUUACUCGCUUAUGUUAUUUUACCUACGCUUAGGAUGUUGAUCUACAGAGCGAGAGU